rnacentral:rRNA from 1 species
AGAGUUUGAUCCUGGCUCAGGAUGAACGCUGGUGGCGUGCUUAACACAUGCAAGUCGAACGGUGAACACGGAGCUUGCUCUGUGGGAUCAGUGGCGAACGGGUGAGUAACACGUGAGCAACCUGCCCCUGACUCUGGGAUAAGCGCUGGAAACGGCGUCUAAUACUGGAUAUGUGACGUGAUCGCAUGGUCUGCGUCUGGAAAGAAUUUCGGUUGGGGAUGGGCUCGCGGCCUAUCAGCUUGUUGGUGAGGUAAUGGCUCACCAAGGCGUCGACGGGUAGCCGGCCUGAGAGGGUGACCGGCCACACUGGGACUGAGACACGGCCCAGACUCCUACGGGAGGCAGCAGUGGGGAAUAUUGCACAAUGGGCGCAAGCCUGAUGCAGCAACGCCGCGUGAGGGACGACGGCCUUCGGGUUGUAAACCUCUUUUAGCAGGGAAGAAGCGAAAGUGACGGUACCUGCAGAAAAAGCGCCGGCUAACUACGUGCCAGCAGCCGCGGUAAUACGUAGGGCGCAAGCGUUAUCCGGAAUUAUUGGGCGUAAAGAGCUCGUAGGCGGUUUGUCGCGUCUGCUGUGAAAUCCGGAGGCUCAACCUCCGGCCUGCAGUGGGUACGGGCAGACUAGAGUGCGGUAGGGGAGAUUGGAAUUCCUGGUGUAGCGGUGGAAUGCGCAGAUAUCAGGAGGAACACCGAUGGCGAAGGCAGAUCUCUGGGCCGUAACUGACGCUGAGGAGCGAAAGGGUGGGGAGCAAACAGGAUUAGAUACCCUGGUAGUCC